rnacentral:rRNA from 1 species
UCGAACGGUUAAAGCACCUUCGGGUGUGUAUAGAGUGGCGAACGGCUGAGUAACACGUGGGCAACCUGCCCUUUGCAUCGGGACAGCCUCGGGAAACCGUGGUUAAUACCGGAUACUCCAUCUUUCUCACAUGAAAAAGAUGGGAAAGUGUUUAGCGGCAAGGGAUGGGCCCGCGCCCUGUUAGCUUGUUGGUGGGGUAAAAGCCUACCAAGGCAAUGAUGGGUAGCCGGGUUGAGAGACCGACCGGCCAGAUUGGGACUGAGACACGGCCCAGACUCCUACGGGAGGCAGCAGUGGGGAAUCUUGCACAAUGGGCGAAAGCCUGAUGCAGCGACGCCGCGUGCGGGAUGAAGGCCUUCGGGUUGUAAACCGCUUUCAGCAGGGACGAGGCGCAAGUGACGGUACCUGCAGAAGAAGCCCCGGCUAACUACGUGCCAGCAGCCGCGGUAAUACGUAGGGGGCAAGCGUUAUCCGGAUUCAUUGGGCGUAAAGCGCGCGUAGGCUGCCCAGUAGGUCGAGAGUUAAAUCCGGGGGCUCAACCCCCGUCCGCUCCCGAUACCGCUGGGCUUCGAGUCUGGUAGGGGAAGGUGGAAUUCCCAGUGUAGCGGUGGAAUGCGCAGAUAUUGGGAAGAACACCGGUGGCGAAGGCGGCCUUCUGGGCCAUGACUGACGCUGAGGCGCGAAAGCUAGGGGAGCGAACAGGAUU